rnacentral:sRNA from 1 species
CCUUGUUGGAGGGGAUGGGCCGCCCUCCACUCCUCACCAUCUCUGUUCCCAUACAGGAAAGCUAUCUGCGGGAGGGGAGGGCCCUGGCCUGACGGCAGUCCAGGAAUAGGUAGGCAUGGCAGGGCCAGGGGCAGGCGCGGUUCCUUGGCCUCUGCAGAAGAGAGCGCUUCAGCGCUCGGCUCGCCCUAGGUGAACGGCCAUGGCGGGCUGGAUCCAGGCCCAGCAGCUGCAGGGAGACGCGCUGCGCCAGAUGCAGGUGCUGUACGGCCAGCACUUCCCCAUCGAGGUCCGGCACUACUUGGCCCAGUGGAUUGAGAGCCAGCCAUGGGAUGCCAUUGACUUGGACAAUCCCCAGGACAGAGCCCAAGCCACCCAGCUCCUGGAGGGCCUGGUGCAGGAGCUGCAGAAGAAGGCGGAGCACCAGGUGGGGGAAGAUGGGUUUUUACUGAAGAUCAAGCUGGGGCACUAUGCCACGCAGCUCCAGAAAACGUAUGACCGCUGCCCCAUGGAGCUGGUCCGCUGCAUCCGGCACAUUCUGUACAAUGAACAG